UUUAUUCAUAAUCUGUGAAUUACUUCUUCUAAACGACAUUCCUCCAUCUUCGACAAAGGGCAAAAUAAAAGUUUCACGGAACAUCACAAUAACGUCAGCCGUCGCUAUAGUGGCAUCCCCGUUUUUCUCAAAGCUCAACUGAAGGUUACGAUGAUUGCAAGGGUUAUCGCUCUCGCUGCAGAAGUGGAACACAAUAUCUCCAAAUAUUAACAUGUACGCACAUACUUGAGUAGAUGAAUACACAUAUCACGAUAGCAUUACGAUUAAUAUUCCAUCAGAUAGGUAUUUCAUAAAAAUUCCAUCCAUUCUCAAAAUAAGAAAUUUAAC
rnacentral:misc_RNA from 1 species